CACGAAUCAAGAGAAACGUCAAAAUAAUGCUAGAUUGAAUACUGUAAUGUGUGGUGUGCUAACAGGCACUGCAGCGGAUCGGAAUUUAAUCAGACUGAAUUUAUGUCGACUGCAAAACGUAAACAAUGUUUACGUUGCUGAUACGACCGGAUGGAUAAACUGGACGAGCAGUAGCUGCAUCUGCAUUAUCUCACGGCUAGUGGAUGGAUCUGCCAACUAUCCCUCAUUCGUUUGGAAUUUGACGGAGGAAAGCUGACUUCUGGUGAAACAGGUUGGUGUGAACAAUUUCUGAUUGUGUUUUUUUUUUCCUUUACUUUCAGGAACAAUCGGAUUGACGGCUAAACCCAAGGAUACAGAUUUUACCCCGACAUCAAAAUUGGCCGGUGGAACGAAAAUUGCCAUAUUUUUAUUUCUAAGUUUAACCCAAAAACCAAACCUCUAAAUAACGAAACUAAAUAAUUUAACAUGAAUAUAAAUAAAUAGCAAAAUAAAUUAACAUCAAUUUAAGUAAAUAGAAAAAUAAAUUAACAUUAAUAUAAGUAACUAACAAAUUAACAUAUAUAUAAAAACAAAUAAAUUACUACUAAUAAAUAGAAUAAUAUACAAUAUACUUUGAUCAAAUUUACGAUAAUUUUAAGUACUAACAUAGGAUAAGAAACAUUGUGAA